UUUUGUUGGUUUGUUUUUUUUUUUUCCUCCUUAUUUAAAAAAAAUAAUAAUAAUUUGCUGCCUAGUCGUCUUCAUCAGUUUUCUGCUUCUUGGGAUCGACGUCGUCGUCCUCGUCAUCCUCAGCUGCCCGUUUGCCUGUGGCUCCCUCAGCUUCAUCGUCUUCAUCACCGUCCUCUUCCUCACCAUCACCCUCUUCCUCCUCGUCUUCUUCCUCACCACCUUCCUCUUCCUCUUCAUCUACUUCGUUAUCAGCCUCCUGCUCUCCAUUUUCCUCGUUCUCAGCGUUGCCGUUGGCCGGUGCAUCUCUGCCAUUUUCUGUUUCUUCAACAACUUCCUUCUUCUCUUUUAGAUCCCUCGCUCUCCCCUCACGCAUACGCGCGCCUCCGGCGGGCCGGGGCUUGGCUCGCGCUGGGGGCUCUCCCGCAUUCCCCCCGCCGUAACAUGGGGCUGCGGGUACCCCGGCCCCGCCGCGGGGCCGCCACGGCCCCCCUCCCCCCCCGUCUCAGAGUCCCGCUCGGGGUAACGGGGUGCACCGGCGCACCGAGUGAGGGAGUUUUGCCACACUCAAGAUGGCGCCGGGAACCCUUCGUGGGGCAAUCACACGGCUCCACCGCUCCUCGGGAGCCGCUCCGCUGCCAACAAAAGCC
rnacentral:lncRNA from 1 species